UCUUGUGGAAGCACCUCAAAGUACUCUUUUUCCACUAAAGACCCUCACUUCAUUCGAUUCCAGAUCAACAGGAAUGGGCUCCAAUGGUUUCCUUCCUAGCCGCACCAUUGCCGAUCACAACCUGACACCUACAUAGCCGCCCGCUCACAACAUCAUGGCUGCUAUGUGCGGCCACUAGCCAAUGUAGAUCAUUGUAACCCCAAUAACAUCGACAUCGUCAUGGACCUGACCCAACCACUGUCCCUUUGCUGUGGAAAUGUGCUGGCAUGGCGAUGAGAGAAAGGAGAACCUGAGCUAGAGGUGACACCUUAGAGAUGUUAUGCUCAGCUGAUGGUUUCAGAUUCAGCAAGAAGAUGUUGUGAUCUAUCGUCACCAUGGCCCAGCAGGGAUGCAAAAGGAUGUUGAUGCAGUGAGCUAGAAACUCCUGAUGC
rnacentral:lncRNA from 1 species